rnacentral:rRNA from 1 species
CGGUUAAGUUAGAAAGGGCGCACGGUGGAUGCCUUGGCACUAGGAGCCGAUGAAGGACGGGACGAACACCGAUAUGCUUCGGGGAGCUGUAAGCAAGCUUUGAUCCGGAGAUUUCCGAAUGGGGAAACCCACCACUCGUAAUGGAGUGGUAUCCAUAUCUGAAUACAUAGGAUAUGAGAAGGCAGACCCGGGGAACUGAAACAUCUAAGUACCCGGAGGAAGAGAAAGCAAAUGCGAUUCCCUGAGUAGCGGCGAGCGAAACGGGACCAGCCCAAACCAAGAGGCUUGCCUCUUGGGGUUGUAGGACACUCUGUACGGAGUUACAAAGGAACGAGGUAGAUGAAGAGGUCUGGAAAGGCCCGCCAUAGAAGGUAACAGCCCUGUAGUCAAAACUUCGUUCUCUCCUGAGUGGAUCCUGAGUACGGCGGAACACGUGAAAUUCCGUCGGAAUCCGGGAGGACCAUCUCCCAAGGCUAAAUACUCCCUAGUGACCGAUAGUGAACCAGUACCGUGAGGGAAAGGUGAAAAGCACCCCGGAAGGGGAGUGAAAGAGAUCCUGAAACCGUGUGCCUACAAGUAGUCAGAGCCCGUUAACGGGUGAUGGCGUGCCUUUUGUAGAAUGAACCGGCGAGUUACGAUCCCGUGCAAGGUUAAGCAGAAGAUGCGGAGCCGCAGCGAAAGCGAGUCUGAAUAGGGCGAAUUGAGUACGUGGUCGUAGACCCGAAACCAGGUGAUCUACCCAUGUCCAGGGUGAAGUUCAGGUAACACUGAAUGGAGGCCCGAACCCACGCACGUUGAAAAGUGCGGGGAUGAGGUGUGGGUAGGGGUGAAAUGCCAAUCGAACCUGGAGAUAGCUGGUUCUCUCCGAAAUAGCUUUAGGGCUAGCCUCAAGGUAAGAGUCUCGGAGGUAGAGCACUGAUUGGACUAGGGGCCCCUACCGGGUUACCGAAUUCAGUCAAACUCCGAAUGCCGAUGACUUAUCCUUGGGAGUCAGACUGCGAGUGAUAAGAUCCGUAGUCGAAAGGGAAACAGCCCAGACCGCCAGCUAAGGUCCCAAAGUAUACGUUAAGUGGAAAAGGAUGUGGAGUUGCUUAGACAACCAGGAUGUUGGCUUAGAAGCAGCCACCAUUUAAAGAGUGCGUAAUAGCUCACUGGUCGAGUGACUCUGCGCCGAAAAUGUACCGGGGCUAAACGUAUCACCGAAGCUGCGGACUGUUCUUCGAACAGUGGUAGGAGAGCGUUCUAAGGGCUGUGAAGCAAGACCGGAAGGACUUGUGGAGCGCUUAGAAGUGAGAAUGCCGGUAUGAGUAGCGAAAGAGGGGUGAGAAUCCCCUCCACCGAAUGCCUAAGGUUUCCUGAGGAAGGCUCGUCCGCUCAGGGUUAGUCGGGACCUAAGCCGAGGCCGAAAGGCGUAGGCGAUGGAUAACAGGUUGAUAUUCCUGUACCACCUCCUCACCAUUUGAGCAAUGGGGGGACGCAGGAGGAUAGGGUAAGCGCGGUAUUGGAUAUCCGCGUCCAAGCAGUUAGGCUGGGAAAUAGGCAAAUCCGUUUCCCGUGAAGGCUGAGCUGUGAUGGCGAGCGAAUUAUAGUAGCGAAGUUCCUGAUUCCACACUGCCAAGAAAAGCCUCUAGCGAGGUGAGAGGUGCCCGUACCGCAAACCGACACAGGUAGGCGAGGAGAGAAUCCUAAGGUGAUCGAGAGAACUCUCGUUAAGGAACUCGGCAAAAUGACCCCGUAACUUCGGGAGAAGGGGUGCUCUGUUAGGGUGCAAGCCCGAGAGAGCCGCAGUGAAUAGGCCCAGGCGACUGUUUAGCAAAAACACAGGUCUCUGCGAAGCCGUAAGGCGAAGUAUAGGGGCUGACGCCUGCCCGGUGCUGGAAGGUUAAGAGGAGCGCUUAGCGUAAGCGAAGGUGCGAAUUGAAGCCCCAGUAAACGGCGGCCGUAACUAUAACGGUCCUAAGGUAGCGAAAUUCCUUGUCGGGUAAGUUCCGACCCGCACGAAAGGCGCAACGAUCUGGGCACUGUCUCAACGAGAGACUCGGUGAAAUUAUAGUACCUGUGAAGAUGCAGGUUACCCGCGACAGGACGGAAAGACCCCGUGGAGCUUUACUGCAGCCUGAUAUUGAAUGUUGGUACAGCUUGUACAGGAUAGGUAGGAGCCUUGGAAACCGGAGCGCCAGCUUCGGUGGAGGCAUCGGUGGGAUACUACCCUGGCUGUAUUGACCUUCUAACCCGCCGCCCUUAUCGGGCGGGGAGACAGUGUCAGGUGGGCAGUUUGACUGGGGCGGUCGCCUCCUAAAAGGUAACGGAGGCGCCCAAAGGUUCCCUCAGAAUGGUUGGAAAUCAUUCGCAGAGUGUAAAGGCACAAGGGAGCUUGACUGCGAGACCUACAAGUCGAGCAGGGACGAAAGUCGGGCUUAGUGAUCCGGUGGUUCCGCAUGGAAGGGCCAUCGCUCAACGGAUAAAAGCUACCCCGGGGAUAACAGGCUUAUCUCCCCCAAGAGUCCACAUCGACGGGGAGGUUUGGCACCUCGAUGUCGGCUCAUCGCAUCCUGGGGCUGUAGUCGGUCCCAAGGGUUGGGCUGUUCGCCCAUUAAAGCGGUACGCGAGCUGGGUUCAGAACGUCGUGAGACAGUUCGGUCCCUAUCCGUCGCGGGCGCCGGAAAUUUGAGAGGAGCUGUCCUUAGUACGGGAGGACCGGGAUGGACGCACCGCUGGUGUACCAGUUGUUCUGCCAAGGGCAUCGCUGGGUAGCUAUGUGCGGACGGGAUAAGUGCUGAAAGCAUCUAAGCAUGAAGCCCCCCUCAAGAUGAGAUUUCCCAUUCCGCAAGGAAGUAAGAUCCCUGAAAGAUGAUCAGGUUGAUAGGUCUGAGGUGGAAGUGUGGCGACACAUGGAGCUGACAGAUACUAAUCGAUCGAGGACUUAACCAAUUU